UUUGGAGGGAAUUGGGAGAUCUAAUUGUCGAUUAAUGCUUUAAUAGAACGAUCAUUCUUAACAAUGUAGUGGGCUCCCUAAAAGAUAAUGGGCUUGGUUUUGCAAAAUCCGAAGGCUUGACUUUGGAUUCUAGGAAGUGUUCAUUUUUUAUAUUGGUAGCCCAAAGUUUAUUGCUACCUACAUUGAGCUGCCAACUAAGUUUUGAUAGGAGAGAGAUUCAAGUUUUGCAUCUUUUGAAUACCUAGACCGUCCAUUGGUUUUGAAUAAUAGAUAAGAGUCCCAACUUUUUAAGAAAGGGUUCUUUUCAUGGUCUAAUUUGUAACCCCACCAGAAUCUCAUGAGAAUAAUAUCUAAAUCAUUGCAAAAGCUAUUUGAGUGAAGAAAAGAGGACAUACAGUAGAAAGGAAUGGUUGAGGCUACUGAGAUGCAUUGUGUUAAGGAGGGACAAGGCUGUCUGGGGGAGCGUUGUUGCUGAUGAAGACAAUGGAUUUGCUAUUGUUGAUGCUUUGACCUGACUAUGACAUGUAAAUGAAAAGAGUGGAUUGGAUAGUGUUUGCUUCUUGCAGGUUGCUUUCACAAAGAGGAUGAGAUUAUCAACAAAGAGGAGGUGACUGAUAGAAGGGCAUGAUGGUGUUAUUUUGAUUCCAUGGAGAAGGUUUGAAGUUCCUACUUUGGUGAGUAAACGGGAUAAAACUUAUGUUCCUAUGAUAAAUAUGAAGGGGGAUAGAGGAUUUCUUUGUAGAAUGCCUCAAGAGGGAGAGAAAAAAACAAAGGAAGAGCCAUUGAGGCGGAUGGAAUAUUUGGGGAUGGCGAUGCAUUUUUUAACCAAUUGGGUCCAUUUAUGGCUGAAACCAAGGCAUUCUUGGGCAUAAAGAAUAAAAUCUCAUUUCAUUC